CGACUGCUGCUGCUGCUGCUGCUGCUGCUGCUGCUGUGGCGGAGGACCCUGCUGCUGCUGCUGCUGCUGCUGCUGCUGCUGUUG
rnacentral:sRNA from 1 species